GACAGAGGGUGCAAACGUUGUUCGGAAUACUGGGCGUAAAGCGUGUGUAGGCGGUCUCAUAAGUCGGGUGUGAAAGCCCAGGGCUCAACCCUGGAAGUGCACUCGAAACUGCGAGGCUUGAGUACCGGAGAGGUUGGUGGAAUUCUCGGUGUAGAGGUGAAAUUCGUAGAUAUCGAGAGGACACGCUGGUGGCAAGGCGGCCAACUGGACGAGUACUGACGCUGAGACACGAAAGCGUGGGGAGCAAACAGG
rnacentral:rRNA from 1 species